UGCCAGCCGCCGCGGUAAUACGAAGGGACCUAGCGUAGUUCGGAAUUACUGGGCUUAAAGAGUUCGUAGGUGGUUGAAAAAGUUGGUGGUGAAAUCCCAGAGCUUAACUCUGGAACUGCCAUCAAAACUUUUCAGCUAGAGUAUGAUAGAGGAGAGUAGAAUUUCUGGUGUAGCGGUGAAAUGCGUAGAUAUCAGAAGGAAUACCAAUGGCGAAGGCAGCUCUCUGGCUCGUCACUGACGCUGAGGUGCGAAAGCGUGGGUAGCAAACAGGAUUAGAUA
rnacentral:rRNA from 1 species